rnacentral:rRNA from 1 species
UACGUAGGGUGCGAGCGUUGUCCGGAAUUACUGGGCGUAAAGAGCUCGUAGGUGGUUUGUCGCGUUGUCCGUGAAAACUCACAGCUCAACUGUGGGCGUGCGGGCGAUACGGGCAGACUGGAGUACUGCAGGGGAGACUGGAAGUUCCUGGUGUAGCGGUGGAAUGCGCAGAUAUCAGGAGGAACACCGAUGGCGAAGGCAGGUCUCUGGGCAUUAACUGACGCUGAGGAGCGAAAGCAUGGGGAGCGAACAGG